AGUGAACGCUGGCGGUAGGCCUAACACAUGCAAGUCGAACGGCAGCACAGAGGAGCUUGCUCCUUGGGUGGCGAGUGGCGGACGGGUGAGGAAUACAUCGGAAUCUACUCUGUCGUGGGGGAUAACGUAGGGAAACUUACGCUAAUACCGCAUACGACCUACGGGUGAAAGCAGGGGACCUUCGGGCCUUGCGCGAUUGAAUGAGCCGAUGUCGGAUUAGCUAGUUGGCGGGGUAAAGGCCCACCAAGGCGACGAUCCGUAGCUGGUCUGAGAGGAUUAUCAGCCACCCUGGAACUGAGACACGGACCAGACUCCUACGGGAGGCAGCAGUGGGGAAUAUUGGACAAUGGGCGCAAGCCUGAUCCAGCCAUACCGCGUGGGUGAAGAAGGCCUUCGGGUUGUAAAGCCCUUUUGUUGGGAAAGAAAUCCAGCUGGCCAAUACCCGGUUGGGAUGACGGUACCCAAAGAAUAAGCACCGGCUAACUUCGUGCCAGCCGCCGCCGUAA
rnacentral:rRNA from 1 species